AAGUCGUAACAAGGUUUCCGUAGGUGAACCUGCGGAAGGAUCAUUAACACGUAUCCAAACGUUAUCGCGUAGUUCGCAAUCUCUGAUAAAUCAUAGCCCGGAAAGUUGUGGUGAUUCGGAGACCUCUGGCUACGUGCGAACAUUGGAACAGUUACAAUCGAGCGGUAGUUCUAUAGGCAAUGUUUCCCCAAGCAGUCAGUGUCGGAAAGACCGUACACUCGGGCAGGAGCUUUGCCAAAGGGUCCCCAUGCCCUCUAAUAACCCCACAGUUUAAUGUGAAGCUCAAUGUAAUACAUUGGGGAAAAAAACCGAACAACUGUUAAGAAUGGAUAUCUUGGUUCUC
rnacentral:misc_RNA from 1 species